rnacentral:snRNA from 1 species
AUCUCUUCUCAGCCUUUUGGCUAAGAUCAAGUGUAGUAUCUGUUCUUAUCAGUAUUUGUUCUUAUCAGUUUAUAUAUAUUAGACCUAUCAGUUUUUCCCAAAAUUCAU